GCGGCAAAACAGUGUUAUUUGAGCUAUGUAUCUUAAAGCUCCUUUCCUGGUUCCUUUCUCAGGAUGGAAGGUUCCUUCAUAUGAAGGGUACACUGAAAACAGUCUCGACGUUUUUUGUGCGCACUGACAAGACACUAGCCUUUUUUUAGAUCAAUUGAUGGUCGAUUAGGUUGAAUUUGUUAUUAGGUUGGUGGCUUCAGUGAGGAGACUUAUGAUGAGGAGCCUGAUGGAGAUGAUAUUGAUGCAGAACAUACAAUGGUUUCAACAGAUGAAAUUCUUUCUUUAGCGGGCAGGCAAGUCGGGAAGUGCAAGUUUUAUCAACUCAUUUCUCAAAGUCUUUCCAGGAG